UACGGAGGGGGGCUAGCGUUGUUCGGAAUUACUGGGCGUAAAGCGCACGUAGGCGGCUUUGCAAGUUAGAGGUGAAAGCCCGGAGCUCAACUCCGGAAUUGCCUUUAAAACUGCAUCGCUAGAAUUGUGGAGAGGUGAGUGGAAUUCCGAGUGUAGAGGUGAAAUUCGUAGAUAUUCGGAAGAACACCAGUGGCGAAGGCGACUCACUGGACACAUAUUGACGCUGAGGUGCGAAAGCGUGGGGAGCAAACGGG
rnacentral:rRNA from 1 species